CCUAGUAACGGCGAGUGAAGCGGCAACAGCUCAAAUUUGAAAUCUGGCGCAAGCCCGAGUUGUAAUUUGUAGAGGAUGCUUCUGGGCAGCGGCCGGUCUAAGUUCCUUGGAACAGGACGUCAUAGAGGGUGAGAAUCCCGUAUGCGACCGGUUGGCACCCGUCACGUAGCUCCUUCGACGAGUCGAGUUGUUUGGGAAUGCAGCUCUAAAUGGGAGGUAAAUGCCUUCUAAAGCUAAAUACCGGCCAGAGACCGAUAGCGCACAAGUAGAGUGAUCGAAAGAUGAAAAGCACUUUGGAAAGAGAGUUAAAAAGCACGUGAAAUUGUUGAAAGGGAAGCGCAUGCAACCAGACUUGUCGGCGGUGUUCCGCCGGUCUUUUGACCGGUCUACUCGCCGUCGGCAGGCCAGCAUCACUUGGGAGCGCCGGAUAAAGGCGCGGGGAAUGUGGCUCCUCGGAGUGUUAUAGCCCCGCGUGCAAUACGGCGCCUUCCGAGUGAGGUCCGCGCUUCGGCUAGGAUGCUGGCGUAAUGGUUGUCUGCGGCCCGUCUUGAAACACGGACCAAGGAGUCUAACAUCUGUGCGAGUGUUCGGGUGUCAAACCCCUACGCGUAAUGAAAGUGAACGGAGGUGGGAACUUCGGUGCACCAUCGACCGAUCCUGAUGUCCUCGGAUGGAUUUGAGUAAGAGCAUAGCUGUUGGGACCCGAAAGAUGGUGAACUAUGCCUGAAUAGGGUGAAGCCAGAGGAAACUCUGGUGGAGGCUCGCAGCGGUUCUGACGUGCAAAUCGA
rnacentral:rRNA from 1 species